rnacentral:rRNA from 1 species
AUGCAAGUCGAGCGGAAACGACACUAACAAUCCUUCGGGUGCGUUAAUGGGCGUCGAGCGGCGGACGGGUGAGUAAUGCCUAGGAAAUUGCCUUGAUGUGGGGGAUAACCAUUGGAAACGAUGGCUAAUACCGCAUGAUGCCUACGGGCCAAAGAGGGGGACCUUCGGGCCUCUCGCGUCAAGAUAUGCCUAGGUGGGAUUAGCUAGUUGGUGAGGUAAUGGCUCACCAAGGCGACGAUCCCUAGCUGGUCUGAGAGGAUGAUCAGCCACACUGGAACUGAGACACGGUCCAGACUCCUACGGGAGGCAGCAGUGGGGAAUAUUGCACAAUGGGCGAAAGCCUGAUGCAGCCAUGCCGCGUGUAUGAAGAAGGCCUUCGGGUUGUAAAGUACUUUCAGUUGUGAGGAAGGGUGUGUAGUUAAUAGCUGCGCAUCUUGACGUUAGCAACAGAAGAAGCACCGGCUAACUCCGUGCCAGCAGCCGCGGUAAUACGGAGGGUG